CCCAUACUCCCUAUACCAACCCCUUUCUGCUCUGCAGGGAGGGUGAUGCCUUUCAAGGGGGAUCUUCAGAGUCUUUCAUAUCAUUUGGAGCAGGGCCUAGAACCUCCCCCAGUGUGUCUAGGCUUAGAGAGUAUCCCUUUAUGGGGAGUAGGGGUCCCAAAAUCCAUUCAUGUACUAGGGAUAAAACUGAUCCACUAUCAGAGGCCCCAUAAUUGCCCAGAAUUCCAAACUAACAUCCUCAUUCAAGGGGUCUAGAACAGUCCUAUACUGUAGGGAGCCAUCCCUGCAUUCUCCAUUACAAGAUGGCGCCUGCAUCUGGCAGGCACCAAAUGUAAACAAGUUAGUGCGCAGGCGCUGGGUAACUUUCCAUCCCUUGGUCUCUGCCUCUCCCGUAGCGUCAUAUGGUCCGAUGAGCUGCAGCCAAUCAUGGGGUGACACGUCCGAGGUGGUGGUUGCCAGCCUAUAUAAGGGAUGGGUUUUUGGGAGUUCGGGGUCUCCGCCCUGUAAGCUUAUGCUCUCUCUCUCAAGAUGCAUUAAAGCAGAAGGAUCCGAGUGUCCUGUGUCGUUCUUGCUGGCGAGACGAUCGCGAGGGACAUCUGGUGCCGAAACCCGGGAACUUGUUAACAUCGCUGGCACUGAGGAGACCCCUGGGAGGACGGGGCAGAUUCAGAACUGCAGGGUGGUAAGUUCGGAGAGUUCGCGACCAAGCUUACCCCAGGUAGCUGCCAGCAUAAUGGGCUCUUCAAAACUGAGAGACCUAAUUAAAAACUGUCUAGAGGAUGAGGCUUGCUGUCCCACGGUAGCAGAGAGUCAAAAAACACUUAAAGAGGUACAGGAUAAUAUAUCAGAAACCGAACGAGAUGAGAGAUUAGGAGCUCAAAAAAGGAAGGACAUGUCUAAGAAAAAGGGCCCUCCCCAGUAUACAAAAAAGGGGGGAGAGAAAAUAGGGGAUGACCGGUCACACCCCGGUAAAUUUAAGAGAAAUAAAGACUCAAAACCUAGUCUCUACCCUACGGUGAAACUAGAGGCCUUGGAGCUGAGCAACUCAGACUCUGAGAUUUUAGACUCUAGCGAGGAAACAGAGCUAGAGGAGGACAGAUACCACCCCGAUAGAUAUCGGCUGCCAAAAGUGAAAGCAAAUAUGAGGCCACCGCCUGUUAAUCCAGCGGGUGUACUUCCA
rnacentral:lncRNA from 1 species